GUAAAAUUUCUAUCACCUCUAAGAUCUAAAAUACUAUUUCAAAGAAACAAAACCCCUUUUAUUCUUUUUUAUUAUUCAGGUAUGAAUAAUGCAUGAUCGCUGCAGCGACCAGGGCAACAUCAACAACCAUAUCAGAUGAGCCCGUUGCUCAGACGGGGCCAGCUCUGAGAUCCCGGUUUUCAAUCGACAAUACAAACCAUUUGGAUGUGUCCAUGGUGGAGAAGAGCCACAGUGUAAUUAUUAGCCUCAGCAGAGAGCAAACUACAUUGCAACCACUACAGGAGCCAGAGCCCAGUGCCAGCUUGCUAUUCAUCCCUCCUAGAGUCAGUUUCGGGGAGAGUGUUCCAGGACUCUAUCUAAG
rnacentral:lncRNA from 1 species